UACGUAGGCAGCGAGCGUUGUUCGGAGUUACUGGCGUAAAGGGUGUGUAGGCGGUUGUUUAAGUUUGGUGUGAAAUCUCCCGGCUCAACUGGGAGGUGCGCCGAAUACUGAAUGACUCGAGUGUGGGAGAGGUGAGUGGAAUUCCUGGUGUAGCGGUGAAAUGCGUAGAUAUCAGGAGGAACACCGGUGGUGUAGACGGCUCACUGGACCAUAACUGACGCUGAGACACGAAAGCGUGGGUAGCAAACAGG
rnacentral:rRNA from 1 species